GGUUCAUGAAUAUCAGUCUAACUUGGUUGCAAGUUCCUCGAGUAAAGGAAUCAAGUCUCAUUGAAAUUUCCAUCCACUAUUCAUUCCUACCUAGAACCCAAUAUACUAGCUCAUAGCAUUGCUGUUGGAGAGUUUCCUGUGUUGAUUAAUAUUUAAGUCCAAAAGACUGAGAAUGUUUUAUGAGUGAAAGAACAGAUCACAAAGCUAUGAAUUCUAAGCCAUAUUCAGCCUGAUGAACCACAUUUAGGUAAAUAGUUGAAUGUUUUGGGUUAUAAAAAGGGGUUUGUCAUGUAAGGAUUAUAAUAUUUAAAAAUGUGUUCCUAUGUGCUAUUGAUUUGGUAGAUAAGAAAAGGUCAAAAACUGACAUAGUAACUAAGGAAUGAAUUUAGAUCCCAACAUCAUUGAGACAACGUGGCAAGCAGUGUCUUUCAAUAGGAAGACAGUAUAUCUAGGAGGAACCAGAGAGUCACUUCCAGCAGUGAAGGAGAAAACUUUCAAAUAGCCCCUCUGCAUCUCCUACCUGAUGGUUAAUGCUGGCUGAGGAUUUCAGUGACAAUUCCUAAUUAAGCAGCUAUAACUGCAAGUGGACAACACUUGUAAAUUCAGCUCUUCUUUUCCUCAAGCCUUACUUUCCUGGAUGCACAAAAGACCAACAAAACACUGGGAUCAAGGAGAGACGCAGCUUUUGUAUAAAUGAAAACCAAAUAUAGCAAUAUAUCAGAGGUCACAAUCAUGACUGACACAAGUUAGUGAACUACCAAUAUCCAGUGAGACUGGAAUGCUCUCCAGUGGCAUCCAUGAGACCCUAGUCUGUAUGGGUAGAGGCUGCUCACUUCCCCUUCUGCAGUCUCAUGGAUUGGAAUCCUUCCCCGCCCUGUGGCCCCACCACCCUCUGCCUCUGUGCCUAAUCUUGUUUUUCACUUCUUCAAACUGCUGGCCAGAAUUCUUUUUCAACCUGGAUAGAUCAUCCUAUAACCACAACUCUGUGGUUCAACAUGGAUAAUACCUGCUGCUAAGUCUUGCAUUUAAGGUUAGUUAAUUUGGGUACUGACGCCAACAUUGCAAGUAAGUGUAGCUAUUCCUCAUUUUCGUGAUCUCAGACCAAUUGCGUAAGUUACUCACAUUGUUUAUAUAUUUUUUUAUUUUUUUCCGAGACAAGGUCUUGCUCUGUUGCCCAGGAUGGAGUGCAAUGACACGCUCGCAACUCACUGCAACUUCCACCUACUAGGUUGAAGCGAUCCUCCCAUCUCAGCCUCCCAAGUAGCUGGGAAUACAAGUGCAAGCAGCUAAUUUUUUUGUAUUUUUUGUUAAGAUGGGGUUUCGCCAUGUUGUCCAGGCUGGUCUCAAACUCCUGAGCUCAAGCAAUUCACCAGCGUCAGCCUCCCAAAGUGUUAGGACUACAGGUGUGAGCCACUGCACCCGGAGAGUAACUCUAACCUUAAAUCAUUUUUUCAACUUACCCCCACUUCCCAGACAACUCCCUCUUUUGGUGCCAGUAUCUUUCGGUAUGAAGUAUACAUAGGAAAUAAUGUAAACUUCAUUAUCUUUGCUGGGUGAUUUUAUACUUGUUUGCUCACAGCCAGGCUCUGCUCUGAGACCUUCUCUGACUUCCCGGCUCUUAAUGAUUAUUUCCCUUCUCUGAACUCCUUUACCAUCCAUCUAUACCAUUCACUUGAGACAUAACAAAUAUUCCAUUUGUGAUUAUUAAGUGCUUGCAGAAGUCCAUGACCUCGGUGUUAUAGGCUUCUAAAGUGCAAGUACUAUACUUCAUAAUUCUUUCUGUACCACAUUAUGCUCUGCAAUACCUUGCUCAAUUUAUGUGUAGCAAAUAUGUUGAUGUUGAACAUUGUAUUUUUCUCUUAAGAACUUAAUUCUGCCUCUCCUUUUAAAUGUUUUAUCGUAGUUGUUAUAUUUCUUGUCUGUUGCUUCAUUUCUUUUCCAUUCUUCCCUUCAAACCAACGUGGUUUGGAUUGAAUAAUCUUUUUCUUUCUUUCUUUUUUUUUUUUUUUUUUUUUUGAGACAGAUUCUUGCUCUGUCACCCAGGCUGGAGUGCAGUGGUGCAAUCUCAGCUCACUGCAACCUCCGACUCCUGGGUUCAAGCAAUUCUCCUGCCUCAGCCUCCUGAGUAGCUGGGACUACAGGCACACGCCACCACGCCCAGCUAAUUUUUGUAUUUUUAGUAGAGACAGGGUUUCACCAUAUUGGCCAGGAUGGUCUCAAUCUCUUGACCUUGUGAUCUGCCAGCCUCGGCCUCCCAAAGUGCUGAGAUUACAGGCAUGAGCCUCCACACCCAGCCCGGACUGAAUAAUUUUAAUGAAAACCCAAAUUACUAACAAAGUUGAGAAUGGAAAUGAUUAGAAUCUAGUUUGGGUCAGAUAUUUUGGUCAUUUGAUUACCCAAAUCAGAUUCACUACAUGGCUAAUUUCACCAUCUUGAUAACAUCAGUCUUCGAACUGCAGUGCUGACUUUCACAGCACUAAAUAAACAUAAUCACAACUGCUGGAUUUGGGAACUGAUGUGAGCUCAGCCUCUUUUCUCACUUAAGACAUGUCUCUACAAACAAAACCAAGUAAGCAAUUUGAAACAAUCCUUUAAUUAUGUAUGGUAGCCUGGGGGUGAUGGGGGAUACGCAAAAUAAUUUUAACUUCCUUUAUCUUUUGUAAGUAUCGUCAAAAAUAUUCCAGGUAAAACCCAAUUUUUAUUGCUGUGAUCUAUAUCAGACACAUGGAGAAACUGAAGCCCAAAGAAGAUAAGGGAGUUUGCUAAAGGUAUACAAAUAGUGAUUCAAAUAGUUAAGACUAGAAUUCUUGCCAACAUGAUUCCAAUUGCACCAGGUCACCUCUUACACCUCAAUUAUCAGGCCACAGAAAUGAAGAUCUUUCUAUGUUAUUAUGGUAGGAUUCCUCUCUUUCAAACUCCAUUGAUGAUUUAGUCCUUGCUUCAAUCUGUCUGUGGAAGGGGGGACAAAAAAAAGUUUGGGCUAGUUUCCUCUCUUCCAAAAUGAUUUCCUAAAAUUUUGACAUCUGCCAAAAGUUUGGACUCAGAAGAGACCUUUGAAAUCUCUAAACCUUAAUUUCAAAUAUUUUUUGGAGACAUAGCUGUGACAUGAUUCCUCAGGAGUCCUAGCCACCUGCCAAGUUCGAAGGGUUUUUGUUCAGCUGUUUUUAACUUACUGCCCAAAGAGUUCUUAAUUUUAAUAAGAUGGAGAAUUGUUUUUUUUUCCAUUGGCCUAUAACUCCAAAACAAUUAAAUGGGUGGACUACAUGAAAAAAAAGAAAGAAAGAAAAGGCAAAAGCAAAAUACAGCAUGAUUAUUGUUUGAGUAAUUUGAUAAAUAAAUUAUGUAUUUGGAAAAGUGACAUAAAUGUUGGACAAAACACAGAGACCACUGUCUCUCAAUCAACCCUAAAUGAUUUACUGAGUGUCAACAAAAUAUCUGGUCAGUAUUUGGUGCUAUUUAGGAAACAACGUGGGAAAAUAUUGCCCAUGCCUUAAGAGGACACUCAACUCAGCCUGCUAAUUAGUAUAAUUAUAUAUUUGAGUAAGAUAUUUUAAAUCAAAAAAGUAAAACAUCCAACAGCUGUAACAUUUUUAAAAACAUUGUCUCAUAUAUAGCCAUUGCCUAUGUAUGCUAGAAGGUAGGAGCCAAUAAAAUAUUCACUAAUGCAAUUUCUUGUUGUUUACUAAGUGGCCUUAAAAACUAGAACCAGUAGUUGUGAACUUGCAUAACCCUUAUGGCUGUUGAGAAAGACACAAGUUAAUAAAUCAUUUUCCUCUUUUCUGUAAGUUUAUUUUUCAAUUUUCUAACAGAAUAGCCAAUUUCAGUCUUGCCAAUUAGAAAGACAUAAUUGUAAAGACAGCAAAAUUAUAUUAUAUCAGCCCGUAGCUAUGAUCUCAGUUGAAAGCAUAAGGCUGUAUAGGUACCAAAGUUUGUUAAAACACCCAGAGAGAAGACGAUGCUUGAGUAAAUGUCUUGCUUUCUUGAACCCUCAAUCAACACAUUUAAGCCAUUUGGUAUAUGGAGAACUGCCAUAGUGCCAGACAAUUGAAUAAUUCUGCUGGAUUCUGUUGGAACACUGUCUUGUCUUCAAGAGAAGACUGAAGAUUUCUGAAGUCAUGAAUCACCUUUAUUGCUUGUCCUCUCGAAAAUUAUACAUUCUUCCCCUCUGACUUAACCAAAUAGAAUGUUGUCACGUGACUUUUUUCCUACAUUUCACAAAUAAAUGUUGCAAAUCACAGACAGUUCUCUAGAAAGUGAAAGACAUGUAUUUUGCAAUAAUACAGUGAUUUUUGUCUCUAUUAUUCAGGAUGAUUGAUGUAAAUGUAAUCAGUCUGUCUCUUAGAUAUUGGUAAAAUAAAGUGAUGGUUGUUGGCUCUGC
rnacentral:lncRNA from 10 species